GCUGAUGUUGCUUCCAGAGGCAGUUUGUACUCAGUAGUGAGUGUUGCAACCGAGAAUAGACUAUUUUUACCUGCUUCAGUACUUGUGUGGACUACCACUUUGUGGCUGAGCUGGUGUUGAUAGUUUCCACUUCACAAUAACAGCACUUACAGUUGACAGGGGCAGCUGUAGAACGGCAGAAAUUUGACAAACUGACUUGUUGGAAAGGUGGCAUCCUAUGACAGUGCCACGCUGAAAGUUACUGAGCUCUUCAGUACGGGCCUUUCUACUGACAAUGUUUGUCUAUGGAGAUUGCAUGGCUGGGUGCUCGAUUUUAAACACCUGUCAGGGACGGGUGUGACUGAAAUAGCUAAAUCAACUAAUUUGAAGGGGUGUUUUGGCCAUGUAGUGUAUAACAGAGGACUUUCAAAGUCCAUUCUCAUAAAUCAAGAGUUUCCCCGUCUGUUUUUCUGUGCUAUGGUGUUUGUUUACUUUCUGUCCUUCCUUUGUUCUAUGUACUAAAACUUUCUUAAUCCUUGCCUACACCCUCUUGGUGGCACUAGAUCACCUUCCCUCUGUCAAUUCUCUCUCUCUCUCUCUCUGAAAGUUUCCUGCCAUCAUGUGAGGCUCACAUCUGCAUUGCAGUGCCGAGGAGAAAGCAGUGGCUGCAUGAGAGGAGUCGUUGUGCAUGUAGAGAGAGAGGAAGAGGGAGAGAAGAGGAGAGAUGGCGGGGAAGCAACAUCAUGGAGUCAUGGGUGACACCUUGGUAUUAUUGCCAUUUGACACACACUAACACAUAGACCAAUCAAUCUCAUCCUGAAGUGAUGACAAUACUGAGAGGGUCAUGUACCCCUCCACCCCCACCUCCCUCAAAGUCUCUUAUUAAUGGCAUCAGCAUUUUUCCUGGUCUCUCUCUAUUUCCCUCCUGAUGGCGGGACCCUGCUUCAUUGUGUUCUGCCAUGUUCCUGUAAUUGCUGAAACGGCCUGCCUUAUGCUGAGCAUGCAUGUGUGUGUGUGUGUGUGUGUGUGUGUGUGUGUGUGUGUGUGGAGAGAACAACUCUGUGCCCCACCGGGGCCGGCUGGGAGUUUGUGGGGCAGAACGUCAGCAGAGCCGCGGGCGAGCUCCACACUGAGGGAAAUGACAGCCUCCAGGCCACCAUUGGUUGAUGACCGUGAAACUCUUGCGGUUAACGUAAAGCGAGCGAGAGGCUGGCACAGCGAGGACUGUGAGGCUGUGUGCAGUUCUGCCAGCAACACAAGCCCCUCUCCAACUACUCUGCAGUACAGAAACAAAACAACAGAGUCCGUGUUACAAUUCCUAACACCAGCAGCUAUGCCAUCCAAGUUUAUUAUGCAGUAACAUCACCAGAUCUCCUUAGGCAGCUGUGCAUCUCCUUAUGACUGAUGAGGGUAAUUUCUCCCAAACAGCAGAAUGAUCACUUUGGUUUGGUCCCCCAACUCCCUCCUCCUUCUUUAUAUCCGAGUAGAAAGAAGACAGAGACGUUUGCUGCUGUGGAUAGAAUGGGUUCAGAUG
rnacentral:lncRNA from 13 species